ACGUGACCGCCCCUCAAAAUGGCCGCCGCGCGCCUCUGCCCCGCAGGGCUGCGCGGAGUCCGGACCGCACCUGCCUCACCUGCUCUUGGAGGGCUGGCACCUGUCACGUGACUAUCCAGUCUGCGUUUCCCUUUAGGAACUGGUCGUGGCGCCGUUCUACCGGCUAAGCGAGGAAGCAGCUGCCAUGUUGUAAGGACAUUCAAGCAAUCAUCCUCUGGAGAAACAAUGUGGAGGAACCAAGUCCUCCAGCCACGGGAAUGAGCGACUUUGGAAGCACAUCCUCCAGCCCCAGUCAAGCUUUCCGAUGACAGCUGUCCUCACCAACAUCCUGAUUGCAACCUCAUGGGAGAUCCUAGGCCAGAACCACCCACCUAAGCCACUCAAUGGAUUGCCAACCCUCAGAAACUGUGACUAUGACAUUAACUUUCUUCCCGCCCUUGGACUUAAAUUAGAACAUUGGCUUUUCCUGGGUCUUGAGCUACCAGCCUUCAGACAAGACCUGCAUCAUCAACUGUCCUGGUAUUCGGGCCAGCAGACUUGGACUGGAACUAAACAUCAGCUCUCCUGGGUCUCCAGUUUGCCAACACAUCCUGAAGAUCUUGGGGCGUGCUUACUUCCAUGAUCAUGUCUGUCUUCUAGCCUUCUAUUCUAGCGUGUUACCUCACCAUUCACAACACAGCACUUCCAUCUCACAGUACAAGGUGGACACACCGAUGUGCAAGACAUCUCCACACCAGGAAGGGAGAGACGAGAAGGGUUGCCAUCCUCCUUGCCUUUUAAGGCCAUAACUCAGAAGCUGCCGGCAUCCCAUUGGCCAAAAGCCGUUCACAUGCAAGGGAGCCUGGGAAAUGCAGUCUUUAGCUGUGUAAUCCUGUGUCCAGUGAAACUUCUGUAUCAGAGGUGAUACCUAGGCAUCUCUACCAACAAUUAAAUGGUUGAAACCAAGCAAGCAGAGGGCUGAAACCCAAUAUGGUGAUAGCUGAAUGAUGCGUAGUGGGACUUGGAAUAAGCAAACAAUGUUGUUGUUCAGUUGCUAAGUCAUGUCCAACUCUGCAACCCCAUGAACUGCAGUAUGCCAGGCUUCCUUGUCCUUCACUACCUCCCAGAGUUUGCUCAAAUUC